rnacentral:rRNA from 1 species
AUUGAACGCUGGCGGCAGGCCUAACACAUGCAAGUCGAACGAGUGGCGGACGGGUGAGUAAUGUCUGGGAAACUGCCCGAUGGAGGGGGAUAACUACUGGAAACGGUAGCUAAUACCGCAUACCAUCGGAUGUGCCCAGAUGGGAUUAGCUAGGGGGUGGGGUAAUGGCUCACCUAGGCGUAGCUCCCUAGCUGGUCUGAGAGGAUGACCAGCAACUGUGGAAGUGAGACGGGGUCCAGACUCCUGCGGGAGGCAGCAGUGGUGAAUAUUGCACAAGGGGCGCAAGCCUGAUGCAGCCAUGGCGCGUGUAUGAAGAAGGCCUCGGGUUGUAAAGUACUUUCAGCGAGGAGGCGUUACUCGCAGAAGAAGCACCGGCUAACUCCGUGCCAGCCGCCGCGGUAAUUC